GUGGGGAAUAUUGGACAAUGGGCGCAAGCCUGAUCCAGCAAUGCCGCGUGGGUGAAGAAGGCCUUCGGGUUGUAAAGCCCUUUUGUACGGAAAGAAAUCCUGGUGGUUAAUACCCGCCGGGGAUGACGGUACCGUAAGAAUAAGCACCGGCUAACUUCGUGCCAGCAGCCGCGGUAAUACGAAGGGUGCAAGCGUUAAUCGGAAUUACUGGGCGUAAAGCGUGCGUAGGUGGUUUCUUAAGUCUGUCGUGAAAGCCCUGGGCUCAACGUGGGAAUGGCGAUGGAUACUGGGAGGCUAGAGUGCGGUAGAGGAUGGCGGAAUGCCCGGUGGAGCGGUGAAAUGCGUAGAGAUCGGGAGGAACAUCUGUGGCGAAGGCGGCCAUCUGGACCAGCACUGACACUGAGGCACGAAAGCGUGGGGAGCAAACAGGAUUAGAUACCCCUGUAGUCC
rnacentral:rRNA from 1 species